AUUAUAUGUGCAGGAAUUAUAUUCUGAAUUGUUUAAUGUUAGAUCUAUAUGAUAUUUACUACUCGUGUAAAUCUGCAAAAGAGUUAUGGAAUUCAUUAGAAAAGAAAUAUGCUACAGAAGAUGCUGGAACCAAGAAAUUUGUUGUGGGAAAGUUUUUAGAUUUUAAAAUAAAUGAUGUUAAAAUUGUGGUCAAUUAAGUUGAAGAAUUGCAGAUUAUAAUUCACAAAAUUAUUGCUGAAGGAUAUAAAAUCUGUGAGGGCUUUCAAGUGUCAGGUAUAAUUGAAAAAUUGCCACCUUCUUGGAAAGAAUAUAAAAAUAGUUUGAAGCAUAAGAGAAAAGAAAUGUCCUUAGAGGAUCUGAUUAUCAAGAUUAGAAUUGAGGAGGACAAUAGAAUGGCAGAACGUACAGAAAUGCCAGAUUUUGAUACCAAGGCUAAUCUUAUUGAAGGAAGUUCAGGAAGUAAAAAACCAGUUGGAAAUUUUAUAAGGGGUCAGAAUUUUAAAAGCAGAAACAAGGGAAAAUAAUUUGUAGGAAAGAACAAUCAGUCUAAACCCCAGUUUAAGAAUAAAAUUGUUGGUGACUGUUUUGUUUGUGGUAAAUCAGGCCACCUUGCAAAGGAUUGCAAAAAUAGGAAAGGAAAAGUUGUGAAGCAGCAGGCACAUGUGGUAGAGGAUGGGAAUUUCUCUGCUAUGGUAACAAAAGUGAAUCUAAUAAGCAACAUGACAGACUGGUGGGUAGAUUCUGGAGCUACCAAGCAUAUUUGCUGCACGAGAGGUGCAUUUUCUUCAUUCACUCCCGCUAGUGAUGGAGAAUGUCUGUUCAUGGGGAAUGCUUUCUCCUCCAAAAUUGAGGGGAAAGGAACUGUGACGCUUAGAUUUACUUCUAGAAAUAUCCUUAAUUUGAAGGAUGUCCUUUAUGUACCUGAUAUUAGGAAAAAUCUAGUGUCUGGAUCUAUUUUAGUCAAAAAGGGUUUUAAGAUUGUAUUUGAAAGUGGUCAAGUUGUACUAUCUAAGGGUGGUUCCUUUGUUGGGAAAAGGUAUGCAGAUGAGAGUCUGUUUAAAUUCAAUGUCUCUGUGAUUAACAAUAAAGCAUCUAGCUCUUCCGUUUACUUGUUGGAUUCUUAUGAUUUGUGGCAUGCUAGAUUUGGACACGUUAAUAAAACUUCUAUUAAAAAAUUAAUGACUUUGGGAAACAUUUCUAAAAUCGAUAAUUGUCCAAAUUCAAAAUGUGAAACGUGUGUUGAAUCUAAAUAUUCUAGAAAACCAUUUUCUCGUGUCGAUAGGACUACUUCGGUCUUAAGUUUGAUACAUUCUGAUUUAUGUGACUUAAAAGGAUAUGUUACUCGUGGUGGAAAUAAAUAUUUCUUAACUUUCAUUGAUGAUUACUCUCGAUAUUGUUAUAUUUAUCCACUUAAGAGCAAGGAUGAAAGCUAUUCAAAAUUUAUUUCCUAUAAAACUGAAGUAGAAAAUUAGCUAGACAAAACUAUUAAAGUUUUAAGAUCUGAUAGAAGAGGAGAAUAUACAGGAGAUUUUGAUAAAUUUUGUGUUGAGAAUGGUAUUAUUCAUGAGACUACUCCACCUUAUUCUCCACAAUCUAAUGGUGUAGCUGAAAGGAAAAAUUGAACCCUUAAGGAUAUGUCAUAUCAAUGCUAAGCUCUUCUGCAUUACCUUUUAACAUGUGGAGGGAAGCACUUCUUACUGCAUGUUAUAUUCUUAACAGAAUUCCUAGUAAGAAAAAUAAUAAGUCUCCUUAUGAAAUGUGGAAGGCAGAACACCUUCAUAUAAAUAUCUUAAAGUGUGGGGGUGUUUAGCUAAAACUUCUAUUCCAGCACCUAAGAGAACUAAACUUGGUCCGAAAACUGUUGAUUGUGUUUUUAUAGGCUAUGCUUUUCAUAGUAAUGCCUAUAGAUUUUUAGUCAUUGACUCUAAAAAUAAUUUGAUUGAAAAGAACACAAUAUUUGAAACUAGAGAUGCUGAAUUUUUUGAAAAUAGAUUUUCGUUUAAAGAAAAGUCUGAAGGAUCAAGCAGUUCUUUUGGUAUUCAUCCUAGUGUUAGAGAGGAGCCAUCUGAAUUAGAAGCUGAAAUUAGGAGAAGCAAAAGACCUAGGACCACUACUUCUUUCGGUCCUGACUUUAUAACCUAUUUAGUAGAGGAUGAUCCUAGUACUUUUGGUGAAGCUAUGUUUUCACCAGAUUCUAUAUUUUGGAAAGAAGCUGUAAAUAGUGAAUAUGAUUCAAUUGUGUUUAAUAAUACUUGGGAGUUACUGAACUUACCUCAAGGAUGUAAGACAAUUGAGUGUAGAUGGUUGUUUAAGAAAAAACUUAAACCUGAUGGUUCAAUUGAUAAGUAUAAAGCAAGACUUGUAGCUAAAGGCUAUAAACAAAAAGAAGGAGUUGACUUCUUUGAUACUUAUUCACCCGUUACUAGGAUUACCUCUAUUAGGAUGUUAAUUGCAAUUGCCUCACUGUAUGAUCUUAUUAUACAUCAAAUGGAUGUCAAGACUGCAUUUUUAAAUGGAGACUUAGAAAAAGAGAUUUAUAUGGAUCAGCCUGAAGGAUUUUUUGUAGAAGGCCUUGAGGAUAAAGUGUGUAGACUUAAAAAAAUCCCUUUAUAGCCUUAAACAAGCUUCUAAGCAAUGGCAUGAAAAUUUUGAUACAGUUUUGACAUCAAGUGGUUAUGUGAUAAAUGAAGCAGAUAAAUGCAUAUAUAGCAAAUUUGAAAAUAAUUGUGGUGUGAUAAUUUGUUUAUAUGUUGAUGAUAUGCUGAUUAUGGGAAUUAGUUUAGAUGUGGUUAAUAAAACUAAAUAGUUUCUGAACAAGCACUUUGAAAUGAAAGAUUUGGGUGUUGCUGAUGUUAUUCUGGAAUCAAAAUAGUAAAAUAUUCUGAAGGAAUUAUUUUCACCCAAUCACAUUAUGUAGAAAAUGUGCUUAAGUAGUUUAAUCAAUAUAACUGUAUUCCUGCUAAAACACCUUAUGAUGCAAGCCGUCAUUUGAGAAAACAUUCAGGUCCUAGUGUUUCCGCUUUAGAGUAUGCUAAAGUAAUCGGCAGUCUCAUGUAUCUCAUGAACUGUACAAGACCUGAUAUAGCAUAUGCUGUCGGUGGACUUAGCAUGUAUACUAGUAAUCCUAACAAUGAACAUUGGGAUGCUCUCAUUCGAGUCUUGAGGUAUUUGAAAUACACUCUAGACUGGGGAAUACAUUAUACCGAAUUCCCUGCUAUACUUGAGGGAUAUUGUGAUGCUACCAAUGAAAGUAAAUCUACAAGUGGAUAUGUAUUUACAUUAGCAGGUGGUGCUGUCUCCUGAAAAUCCACUAAGCAAACCUGCAUUGCUAGAUCUACUAUGGAAUCUGAGUUCAUAGCUUUAGAUAAGGCAGGUGAUGAGGCUGAAUGGUUAAGAAAUUUUCUUAUGGAUGUUCCUUUGUGGUCUAAAUCAUUUCCAACUAUUUCAAUACAUUAUGAUAGUCAAGCACUAUCUCAAGAGUUCAAAAUUCAUCCUACAAUGGAAAGUCUAGACAUAUUUGUAGGAGGCACAAUACUGUGUGUCAGCUGUUUAAGGAUGGGAUUAUAGCUAUUGACUAUGUGAAGUCAAGUGAUAACAUUGCUGACCCAUUAACCAAAGGAUUGGCUAGAGAGCUAAUUCAAUAAAUAUCGAGGGGGAUGGAGCUAAAGCCUAUUGUUUAUUAGAUCACCUAUAAUGGAAACCCAACCUUGCAAUUGGAGAUCCCAUGGUCAAGGUUCAAUGGGACAACAAAGUUAUUGGAGUGGUCUGUGGGGGUACUACAUUGAAUUUAUUCCAAACCCCUCCCUAUGAUGCGUAGUACCAACUGUAUUGAUUAGAGGAUGAGCUAAUGCUCUUAAUGCUUACUAUAGCUGAUAUUCAGUGGGGUGUUUAAAUACAGUGCACCCUUGAUAGUAGCACCUAUUUGAGUGUGAAAGUGGGGCCGCUUCCUAUGAGAAUUGAGGCGAAUUCUCUAGAGCACUCAAAGAAAUUGGGAAAGUUCACGGCCGAAAUGAACACAACCGCGAGAACUCAAUGACUGUUCUAGAAAUCAUGUGUGUAUUCUAUUGUCUCAGUUUGCAACUAUAAUUGUAGAGCUCUACAGUUAGUAAGCUCGAUAGAAUACAAAGAUAAGGUUCAAGUCGAUAGACACCUAAGCCUGCAUGAUUUCUACCGUACUCCAGAGUAAUAUUUUCAUUUACCUUAUUUCUUUCAUGUGAGGGAUUGUUAUAUAUUUAUACCAUAAAUAUAAAAUGUGAAAGAAAUAAUCAAAUUUGAUAAAGUGUCAAAGUGAUGGGAAAUGUGGCAUCUGUGUGAGACGUUAGGGGUUCGAGUCACCCCCCACGCAGAUAUUAAAAUGCCUUGAUUGGGGCCUUGGGCUUCUUCCUUGACUAAAAUAAAUAAUUUUUUUAUUAUUAUAUAAUGGGUAAAACUAGCCAGUAUUUUUUGACUUUUUUUUGUAAUAAUCCACUAACAGUCAUUAAAAUACCCACUACUCAAUCAUUAAAAUUCUGAAUUAAUCUCUGAUCAUGGUGGAGACUGUUACUUCUAUCCUGCCUAUAUAAAUCCAUAUCUCGUUUUGGGAAAAAUACACACAAAAAGAAAAUAGAAAAAUCCUCUUGUACCAAUCCUUCAUUUUCAUAUUGUGAUUUUCUUAUACACGGUUUUUUACAUAUAUUUUGGAGUACAAUUGAGAGUUCUGGAAAAACCAUUCGUGAUUGCUGCACAAGUGGUUUACGAUCGUUGUAUCCUAGGAGUGAUUGUCCACGGAGGUCGCAGCAAUUAUCGACGGGCAAUUUCACUUUAGGAUAUCGUGCUAUCACGAGACUCGAUCAAAUGAUAAGUCUUAUAUAUUUCUGCAUUUUAUUGUUCUGAAUAUUACUGCAACUAGUUAUUAUUCCAACAUAAUCAACAAGUAAGAUGAUUGGUGAGGGUGAUGCAACAGCAAUAAAGUCUUACUUUUCUAAAAUGCAGGCAUUGUGCUCGAAGUUUUACUUUAGUAUUGAGUUGGAUGACGAUAUGCGCCUAAAGAAUAUUUUUAGGCAAACAAUCUGUGCAUACAAACAUACAAGGAGUUCAGGGACAUAACAUUUGAUAUCACCUACCUUACUAAUAAGUACGACAAGUUGUUCGCCCCUUUUGUUGGCAUGAAUGAUCAUGGACAAUUAAUGUUUCUUGGUUGUGGUUUGGUAUUGAAUGAGGACGCAGAUAAAUUUGUAUGGUGGUUUAAUACAUGGCUUCGGUGCAUGCAUUGUUAAGCUCUACACGAAAUAAUUACUGAUGAAGACAAAAUCGUGAAAAAUGCAAUUCAGAUAGUUUUUCAAAAAUGCGAAGUAUAGAUCGUGUUUGUGGCAUAUUUUGAAAAAGUUGUUAGAAAUAUUUGUAUACCACGUGGAUAAGUCUUUGAUAUUUUCGGUAUACAUAUAUUGGUGUAUGAUUGACAGUUUGUUGAAGAUUUUGAGAAUGGUUGGAGAGUGAAGAUCAAUAAAGUAUGACUUGCAUGAUAGCAAUUGUCUGUUGAGAUUGUACGAAAAUAGGGGUUGUUGGAUUCCAAUUUUCUUGAAAACAACUUUCUAGUCUUGGAUGUCAACAAUGUAAAGAAGUGAGAAUAUAAAUGUCUUUUUCGAUGGUUAUGUGCAUUUGAAGAUAUCAUGAAACAGUUUUUCAAAUAGUAUAAAUGGGCACUGCGGAACCAGGUUAGGAAGGAAUUUCAGGCUGAUUUCAAGUCUUUUCUCAAAAUACUAAAUGGAAAAGUAAUAUCAAGGCAUGUACACCAAUUAAAAGUUCAGGGAAGUACAAGGAAAGGUUUAUUGCAACCUUAUAUUUGCUUCAGACGGAUGUAUAGAACGAUGUACGAGGUGUGUAAGGACAUUUUAUGUGCCGAUCGAUGAAAGAAAAAAAUGUCUUACCUCAUCUAAAAAAGAAAAAUGUGAAGUUCUUUGUAGCUGUCACUUGUUUGAAUUCCAAGGAAUAGAAUACGGGCAUGCGAUCAUAGUUUUGAUACGUAAAGACAUGAUUGGAAUGCUAGAUUUGCAUAUACAGUGAAGACAGAGAAAAGAUGCCAGCAGAGCACACACGAGGGUCGUAAUUAACUACGAUGGGUUGGUUAGUAGUCCUAGACAAUUUAGUAUGACGACAUGAUUCAAGCAUUCGCUAAGACCUUGCAAUAAAUGAUUAAGGAUGAUAUCGUGUUAUCAUGGAUUGGAUAGAACUUCGAAAUAAAGAGCUUAAUUUCACAUAGUUAGUUGAGGUAGUAAUACCAUUUCUUUGUAUAUUGUAUAUCAAAGUCCCGAGAGCGGGAGCGUUAGGGAUCCAAACUCGUAGAAGACGAAGGGCGCUAAAGACAAAUUAGAAAAAAAAGGCCUAAUGGAGGCGAGGGCUAAGAAAUCAAAGGCAUGAUCUUAUGUCAUACUCUUUUAUUCACUUUAUUUUAUACACUAAGUCAUAUUUUCUAUGGAGUACAUACAUGUAUGAUCGAAUCAAACCAAAGGAAAGAGACCGACAAUGAGGCAUAGUAGUAUGGAAGACGGAGCACCCGAGGUUUCACUACCUCCUCAACAACAAUAUUCCAUGCCAAUGCCGUUCUCAUAUUAGCAACUCCUAUUGGUUAGUAUAUUUAUUAUACCAUUUCGUUAGCACUUUAUUUUGUAUUAAUGCGAAUAAAUUGAUGUAGGACAGAAUGAGUGUGUGUUUACACAAUAAGUGUCGUUUUCUGCUUUGAUCCCUCCUACGACCACAAAUGUUAUUUUCAAUUCACAAGGUACAUAAAUAUUUAAAUAACAACAUUUAAUUUGAAUACUUCAUCUUCUCUUGUUAAUUUUAAUUUUCACGUUAGGUUUUGUGAUCUAGUAUAACUGUCUACAUUUACCAUAUCAUGGUGGCACCAUUUGGAUUCAAGCGAACAGCUGAGCAAAGUGGACUCAACUGCUUUCUUACAUUUAGAUGUAUGGAUUGUUAGAUGAGAAAAAUGUGAUCUGUACUUUAUGGUUGUUUGAAUGAGUUUCAAUCUGUCAUGAUAUUUGCAUAGAAGGGUUUUGUUAUGGAUCAAGCUGUUUUGUUAUGAUAUUUUUGGACUACAUGAAGUGGUUUUUCUUGUGUUCAAAAUUUGAUCUUGGUAGUAUUAUGGUCCAUGAGUGGUGUUUGCUGAUAGUUAGGUUGUAUACAUUUUCAUGUAUAGAAUUUGCUCUUUCUAG
rnacentral:lncRNA from 1 species